ensembl:lncRNA
CUUGGCAUCAGUCAGCAGGUGGUGAGCAAUUGCAUUAUGCCUCAUAAGUUUUGUAUAUUCUUUUAUGAUGAUGAUGAUGACUAUUAUUGUUUUACCUUCCUUUUCUGUUCUAUUAAACUGUCUUUAUCUCUACCCAUGAAUGAGUUUUACCUUUUUCUGAUUGUUUUCCCUAUCCCUGUGGGGGAAAGUGAGUGAGUGGCUGUAUGGUGCUGAGCUGCCUGCCAGAUUAAACCACAACUACCACCGAGGCUGUUGGCAUUUUAAAAAAGCUUUAGAGCUAGGAAGGAAUAAAAGAGUCUCAAAUAAGAUACUGCACACUUAAUUUAUUUAUGAUUGCUGCCAUGCACCUUCCUAAAGAAUAAUGGGACCUAUUCAUUUGUCUGUGUGACUAAGUGAUAAAGUGUGUCUGUGAUCUGCUGGUACAGACUUGUGCUUGUUACAGCUGGCCAAGAAUAGAGUUUUUUUCUGUGUUAAACAAGAUCAUUGGUAUCCAGGAAGAUUUCACUGGAAGUUUUUCAGCACUGCAGGGAUGGAGAGGUCCCUUGGAAGCUCUUCCUGCUGCUAUGUAAGGGAAGCUGCAGAAAGAUCUUUGCCAUGUCCUUUUGUAACUCCCAUAAUCUGUAAACUUGUGUGGUCAAAGUAUAGCUAACAUGCUAGAGAGGGCUUGUGAUCUUGUGACUGGACUAGUUGCAGUUUCACAGAAGAAAACUAGCUUUAUCUCCCUAAUCCUUUUGCUGGCAGGCAGGACAUGAAAAAUGAAGUUGAGACACUGUACCUAUUUAUUGCUUAAUUUUUUUCCCAUAAAUUCUAACCUUGUGGUUAAAAAACCCCCAAACAUUCAGUAAUUCUCAGAUGUAAACAAGGAGAAAAAUAAUACUCCAGAAAGCAAGAGCUUGUAAGUAUCCAAACCCUAAAUAUGUUAACACAGCUGUAUAUCAUGUGACCCAUCUCAGUUCUGACACAAAAAUAUGUAAAAUGUUUGAAAAUGUCCAUAGUAUUGUGAUUUUUUUAUGAUCUCCAAGUGGAACAAGAAUAAUACAACGGUUAAAAAUCCAAAUGGAAUGAAUGAACAGUUGUGCUGAAAUUACAUAAACUACCCUUUUUCUUUGGUAAUAUUUAAAAACUUCUACUAAAGCCCUGCCAUCAUAAUUCUGUGCAAGGUAGAGGCCCUGAACAAGAAGCAUUAUAUCUUGGUAUAGUAAAUAACCUGAUUACUCUUGCUUAUAACUCUGAUAUCUUGUCUGUCUUUACCUGGUAUAUUCUGAGUGUAGCUCAGUGAGUGAAUCUGUGAAUCUGGUCAACGGCUGAAGUCUUGUAUUGGCAGGUGUAAGCUCUGGCCCUGGCUGUAGCUGAUUACCUGCACUAGGCAAAGCAGAGGUGAGAGUACCAGUUGCACUCAAACAAUUUAGGAAUCCAAAUUCAUCCUCAAGAAGCUGAUCAGUAAAUCUUGAAUGCAUAAAGUGAAGAGAAAGGUUCACUGAAAUUCACAAAAAUAUGACAGAAGAAGAAAAGUGAUUAAAAACAUAUAAGUGGAAUUUAUUCAGUCGUAAAUGUUAUCUGUGUGCCAGGUCUUCUUUCAAAGCUAUAGGAUUUUUUUUUUCCCACAUAGUUAUUGUUUAGUAAUAAAUCUGAAAAGCUUCUACAAAUAUCUACUUGGCUCAAAGCAAUAGAUGUUAUGAAGGCUUCAACUAUAAUGACAAGUGCAGGAUGUUGUCAGUUGAUCUUGGACAAAAAAGAAAUUGAAGUGUCUUCAGUAACACUUUAAAUACAAUUUUAAUUCUAAGCAAUUUGAAAAUUAGUGUAGUUGCACUUCGUAAUUUCAAGAAAAAAUAAUACCAUUUUCACCUUUUCUUUUUCUUUUCUUCAUUUUUUUCUUUCUCAUCUCCACUACUUGCUCUCUAGGUUAAUUUUAUAUAUUUUUUUAAUCUUAAAAUGCAUUUAGAAAUAUAUCUACACUGAUUAAAUUAGGAUGUAUAUAUUUGGGGCAGGGACUGCCUUGAGUCAUCCAGUUGCUCAGCACAUGUGAGUGACUGAUAUUACCUGACAGUGUAACAAAGUACUUCUAUGUCACAUUAGAAAUCAUUACUUCUGAUAAGUAGAUUUACAAUAUGUUUUCCUACUGCUCUUACUGUCAUUAUGGCACCUCUGUAGAUGUACAAUACUUGCAAAAUGAAAGGGCCUUUCCUUCACAAACCUUUAUGAAUUCAGACACUUGAAACUAUAUUUCGGCUUGUCCUGCAGCAACUUUAUGCAUCUAAGUGGCAGUGUGCAGAAAAAGGCAUGCAAUCUGGAAGUGAAGGGGAAUGGCCUGAAGGCUGCUGUGAGAUUUUCUCCAGGACUCUUCUGUUAGUCAGACAGGCGGUCUCCACAGCAGAGGUCCACUGAAGCUUCACACAUAGAAUCUUUUUUAAGAGUGCAUACUGCUGUGAGUAUAUUUGUGAUAGUAUCUAAUAACUUGCAUCUAGAUGUUAGGUAUUGCUGUUUGAAGAAGUUUUCUGUUGCAAAGAAGUACAUCAUGUACUGACUAGGACAGUGAGAGAAAAAUAUGCAAAAAAAUGUCAAAAUAUGUCAAAAAAAAAAAAGUCAUUUCUGGCAUUAAGCAAAUUAUUUGGCACAAUUCAAUCCUUAUUACCAGAAAAUUUCAUCUAAGAGUGCUGCUGGUGAUAGGAAGGAGGCAAAACUCAGCAGGGUGUGUUACUCUUCUACCUCCUCUCUUGAUGAUUAAGUUGUUAAUUUGCAGUGGUGGAGACUAAGGUUUAAUUAUGUCCUCUACUCCAAAGAUCUAGAUCCUGCUAUCCUGUCUCUCAGAACAGUCAAUGAGCAAUUAGUGGCAUGAAGACUACCACAAUGUGCUCUCAGUUGUUCCUCUUCACAAUUUUUCACUUCCAAGGAACAGUUUCAUACCUUCUCUGCUAUGUGACUUUACCAGGCUUUAAAGAUGUUCUUAGGCUUGAUGGUGGCCCCUUAAGCACUUAAACAUGCAAAGUGAAUCAGUUUGAGCUCCUCAAAACUCCCCAGUACCUAGACACUUAAGCAAAGUUGGGUCAGAGUUCAAGCUAGUGCUCUGUCUGAUGAGGAUAGGAGUCUGAAUGUGGAUCCCUAAUUCCUUAGGUGAAUGUCCUAGCAAUUAUUCUUCAGAUCACUACAAAAUGGAACAGGUCAAAUAAGCCACAUCAUGCAAAGUAUGUCAGAAAUAUUUGAAAGUCACUGAGAAUACAGUGAGAAUGAUUCUCUUAUCUUGUGUUAAUGGUAGUCACUUGGGAAGGUGGAGUAAACCCUAUUACAUUUUACAUGGCAUGGAAUAAACUUUCUCAGUAAAACAUAGGAACGAAUUGUAUAUUAUGUCAAGAACAAUCCUUUUGCAACCAUUAUUUACAAGUUCCCCUGAAUUUUCUUACCUUUUUUGUUUGAAUUUGCCAAAUGUUUACGUUUUCCAAAAAUGUUUCCUCUUGAGACACAUGGAACAUUUCACAUUGAAGGAAAUAUAGUGGUCUGGGUGGAGAUGGUAUUGAUUGUCAUGUGGAAACUUGGAAAAAUUGUGAAUUUGGUUCAGUUUGAACCAACAUUCUUUUUCAAACGUUUGGCUUGGCCAAACUGAAAAACUAGUUAUCUUCACAGCUCUAAACCCUCCUUUGCAGUUGGACCCUGAUUUUACAAAGAAAAUCAUAGUAUAGUCGCUGGAGCUGUUCAUCUAUGGCACAGUGGCAUGAAAUGGAAGCCCCACUAGAAUGUAGCGGUGUCUGAAGAUUUUAGAAAUGCUGGAGUUCUGAAGAGGGAUUAAAUGAUGGCAUUCACAGUAUGCGUACUACUGGUCUUUACAAAGGCACUACUGUUUUCAUGGAUUCCCUGUCAGUUACUUGCCAAAAAGAUACCUCUGAUGCACGUCUUUAUGGGAAAUAGGAAAAAGAGGAGAGUUCUUGACUUGUUUGCAUUGUUAGCUUGGAACGGAUACAUUCCUUUCUCUAACUUUUUUCAUUUCAUGAUGUAAUGAGAACAUUUUAAACCAGGACAAACAAACAGCAAGUGCCAAGCUUUUUCCUAAAAGCUCCUUAUGAUCAAACAUACCCAUCCAUGCUUUUGAAUACCUCAUAAUUAAACAUGCCUAAAUGGAGACUUAAUUUGAACAUGUAAAUUAAUCACAUGUUAUAACAAUUGAAAUUCAUAACCGAACAUCCAUUAGCAGACAACGCCGUUCCUCAUUCUUUUGUCUGCAUGUUUAUAGUAAUCAUGCAAUAGGAUUUAUGGUGCAUAUCACCCUUUGAAAAUUAAUUCUGAAUCAACAUAGGAGAUGUGUUCCCAUUUCUAUUGUAUAGCUUUGCUCUAAAAAUGCAAAUAAUUGCAAAUUAAGCCCCAGAUGUCUAAAGAGCAGCAGGAGUAACCAUUUAUUUGAUGUAUGAUGCACAACAUGUCAUUUCUGUGUCACUCCUCAAUGGGUUAAAUGAGUUUCAUCGUUUGGAUGUUUUAGGAAAAUAAUAAACAAUGUAGCUCAUUCAAAAAACAGCUGCGUUUUUUUUUCUUUUCUUUAAAAACAAAAACAAAAAAAGAAGAAGACAAAGUUAUUUAAAAUUUGUUUUCAGUUGCCUGCUAAGAAAAUAAGUUUACAUAAAAGAAACCUCAUUUCCUUAUGAAAAAUUGUGAAUUUACCUUCUGAAGCAAUUUAGUAAAAGCCAAAAUUUUUCUGUGCAUUUAGCAACUACUGAAUUGCUGUGGUGGGCUAUAUUAAGUAUAGAUGGAUGAGAAUUAGGUCAGUGGAGAAAACACAAGCUGCACCCUUCAGAGCUAAACCUGCACACACAUUACCUUAAAGAUGCUUACAUAAUGAAUGUCUGUGUUUGCUUGUGUAUUUCAGUGUAUGUUUAUGACAGACCAUGAAGCUAUCCCCAACAGGCAUUUGAGAAAGACAAAUCCCCAGCAUAUUUGCAUGUCCAUUAAACAACAAUAGCACUUCUAUCAAUAAGAAAUGAAUUUAUUUGCUUGACUCCCUUGGGCUCAGAUUUCACUGUAGGGCCCAGUCUUCAAGUGGAGUUUGGUCAGUAUAGGCUCUUCAUUAACUUUACUAGGUGUUAGAUCAGGCCUUGAUAUUCUUCUCCAUCCGCUAGUGUUUACUCAGGUGACAACACUGCAUUUAGUUUUCUCGCCUAUGCAGCAGGAGUUCUUUGCAACUGAAACCCUGUGCUGCCCUUAUGGUUUAAACUCAGCUUUGUGCUCAAUGUCCUGCUUCCUAAUGUGCUACACAGCUGUCCUGUGCUCUUGGCUUCAUGCCAUCUUCAUGUUACUCCUCCCAGUAGGUCAACCGUUUUCACUCUGCUGUUCUGUUAAUGCCUUUUAUAGAACCACCUUUUUAUAGUGCUACUUGCAGGAAAUGCUUUUCCUGCAAUGUGUCUGGAUCAUUUACAGCCUAAAAUGUUACCAUAUGCAGCUUAAGCCUAAAGGACCUUAUCUUGCCCUAGUCUGUAUAGUAGCAUCAUACAGUCAGACAACACAUUGACUUGCGAGGAAUUUUUUUUUUUUUUUUUUUUUUUUAAAGAAAGGGCUCUCAUCCUCUUCUACUUAAAUACCUAAAUCUGAUGAGAAACACUUGGAACACAUACAUGAGAACUUGGACUGUUCAGUUAUUAACCUGGAACCUAGAUAAUGAGGGAGAGCUAUACUGGGACAGAGUACUAAGUGUGAAGACAGGAAAGUGUAAAAAUGCAGCAAAAUGGCUUUGUGAUAAUUAGUGGAAAGGAGGUCACAGCCUGUCUUUCUGUCCAACACAAGCCUCUUAUUUAUUAUUGUGGCAUGACAGCAUAUGGCUCUGAGUUUUUAGUGGACUACUACCAUUUCUCAGUUGUUUUUGCUUUCUCUUUUCUCACAGUAAGAUGUGACUUAAAUUCCUAAACUCAAAACCCCCAAAAAUUCAACCCACAAGCCCCAGUGGUAUUUGAAGUUUAUGUAUUCUUUAACCAAAGGCCUUUGCAUAACCAGAUACUGGUACAUUCUUUAGUGAAAUUCUUGAAGCUUUGGGCUUAACCACUGCUUCUUUCAGUGAGGUGCUUGAAAACACGUCAACUAUGUAGCUGUACUGGAGGGCUGUGUGGAUGAGGUAUGUCCUUUUUCUCAAAUUGACUAAUGUCAAGGUCCAGACUGAGGCAGGUUCUUGGCUCCAGCUUGAACAGUCCCAUGGUGAUGUCAGAAUUUUGGUGUUUAUAUUUAAACAUUUUUUGUUAUUAUCAUUAUUACAGAGAAAAGCUGCAGAUUUGGCAUGCAUUAAUCUCUUAUAGAGGUAUCUGCUGGAGUAAGCAGAGAACUUUGUGAAUUUGUAUAAGUUAUUAAUUCUGAAGUCUUUACGUAGCCUGCAGCAGUGGACUUGGGUGUAGACAGGAGAAAUUCACCAAACUGGGCAAAGAGACUUGGUUUCUGAAAGAACAGAAAGAAACAAUACAGCAACAUCUUUGCUGGAAGGAGAGAUCUAAUAGUGCUUAAAUAGACUUGAGAGAGACAGAAACUCACAAAGGGCUUACAAGGCUGGAAUUAAACAAAACUAAGUGGGAUUCAAAAAUGUACUUAGAACAAAAAAAAAAAAAAAAUCCUGAAAAGGAAAAGACAGUCUCCCUUUCCAUGCAAAAUCAAAAAGGAACACUAUUAAAAUGUUCUUAAAGUAUUCAGUUUCUUUUAACAACACUUAGGAUACACUGGGCAGUCCAACAUGAUCCUGUGUGUAUUGGCAAAGCAUAGUAGCCUUUUGGAUACAAAAACUUCAUCUAAGUGUGUUUCAGAUCCAUGUGUGAUAAACUUCAUUUGUUAAAUACGGGAGGUUUAUCUACUCUUUAAAACACCAGUUGUGUUUCACUUAGUGAACCAAAAUAAUAUAAUGGCAUUAGGCUUCUUGGCUCUUAGCUGACUUCUCCAUUUUUCUCUAAAGUGUGGUGUUAAUGAGUAAUUUCAGUGUAAGGACCCUUUUGCUGAAAUAUUUUUCAAAAACUCUGAUUGCUUUUCUUCUAAAUUCUCUGUGUAAUCUUCAUUGCCUUUCAGUUUACUGUGGGAGACUGGUUGAGAGCACCUUGAAAUAAAAUCCAAGGCUGUGCCUUUUUUCCUCUAUAUUUUCGAUAGGAUUCUUGUUCAGAUAUCAUGAGUGGGAACAUGAUCAAGAAGCAUAGAGCCAGAGUCUAGAGCAAGUUAAUCUGACAGUGCUGUUCUGGGCACUGGUUUCCUUCGUGGCCUUAGGCAGAACACGUGACCUUUCCACCUCAGUGUUCUUUUCAUUAAUAUAGGGUGAUGAAAAUAAUUUAAUUCCUAUCAUCUGACACAACAUAUUUGCUACAGACAGAGGAAAUGGUAUGGAAAUAGCCUUUCUGAGGAUUGUUGAAAAUCAGAGCAUAUCCAUCACAUAUCAUUGAAUUAUUUCAAUUUUAUUUAUUUAUCUAUUUUUAAUGAAGGAACUCAGUUCUUAAUUGAAAAGGCUGAAACAUUUAAAGGUUGAAUUUGUCGUUUGGAGAGUAUUCUGAAUUUCAAGAAAACUACCCCCCCACUGUUUCAUUAUGAGAAAUAUUCUAAAGGCUUUCCAAAAGUUUUGUCUUUAUGCAGAACCACAGUCUGUUUAUUUCUUCAUGCCAAAGAUGAGGUUUGGCAGAGGAUUUAUCCCAUACCCUUGCCAACAGCUCUCCUAAGAGCACACUCAGUUAGUUUAUAUUACUACUUUUGAAAAAGGAAACAUUAAAGAAACUGUAUUUUUAAUACAGUAUAAAGGUCCUCUGAAGGCUGAAAAUGCCUCCCUCUGGCCCCACCUCCCUGCAAAGGGCUAGGGGAAGUGAGGGAAAAAGGAGUCCUACAGUCAAAAGAACUGCCUCUGUGUGAGGCCUGAGAGCUAGGACAGCUUCGCGCUAACCCUCAUUUUCCUGCAGGCUCUGGUUUUCAAAAAUUCUUUCUAAGUCUAGUUGCUCAAGUUGAGACAACCGUGUCUUCAUUUUCAGCAAGUCUGGCACUCUCAACACCUGCUGAUUAUACUGUGACUGUUUAAGGGAAGGAUUUAGAAUGCCUCCUGCCAGUCUCUCAUCCUACUGCAAGUGCACUUGGUAUAUAGAGAGGGGAGGACCCAGUGCCUUGAUCUGUCCAUCUGUCAACUCUGUGACCUUCUGAACACAACUGCAUCCCGUCUGCAGCAUCUCUGAAUGGUCGUGAAGUCUGUAGUUGUUAUGUCCACCUUCCAUUUUCUUGCUCUUAAAGUAGUAUAAGCUCUAGCUGGUGUCUGGAACACUGGCCUUAUCUCACAUACACUGAGUGACAUGACAGCUACAUUGGCUAACUUUUGACUUAAUAUGACAUUGUUCUUCCUGCAUACUGGGGAUAGUGAGACUUGAAGCAUCUUCCUAAAUAUUCAGUGGAAAUAACUGCUGUUGACUACACUGUUUCAUUUCAGCACAGAGGGUCUUUUUAACACUUCUAAAUCUUCAAUUCUGAGAUAAUAUAUCGUCAAAACAUAGAAGGCCACAGAAAUGCCUGAUUCUGUAGCUAUGUUAUGCACAGUGAGAGAGCAUUUCAGGUGAUUGUAAAAAGACUUGUGUAUUGUAAAUGUGGGGAAAAAAUGUAUAUACACAUCCAUCCAUCUGAACUCAGAUGGUAUUUUUAGAAACCAAAUAUAAAUGUCAUAGCCCCCUUCCAGCUGAAUAUUUAUCUUCUCCAGAAGUUAUCAUGUAAGUCCAUUUGUUAUCUGUAGUCAUGGGUCAAUUGUGCAUGUGCUAGGGCUGGUCAGCUAUCAAAGAGAAAGCUAAAGCAUGGAAAGUGCUAAUUUUCAUCUGAGUUCCCAAAACUAAAAUGGUAGCAUUUGAUUUUCAAAAUUUUCUUUUCUUUAUUAAACUGCCACAUCCAGAAUUUCCUGUUCAACCACAAUACUUUUUCCUCCUAGGGACCAAAUCAAAGAAUUUCUUUUAGGUGGCUAAAAUGUUACCAAAAUGUUAGGGAUCUUCAUGCAAAAUCUGCAGAAUCUGGUACGUGCUAAUAUGUUGUAAUAAGAUUUGAGUAACCAGUGUUGCAUUGUUAAGAUCCUUCUUUUCUUCUGUAAGUGUAUCUGUCUUAGAGAUCUGUCAGAGUUGCACCAGUGUGGGCCAAGCUACAUGGUUGGGGCCCUUAAGGCUCUGCAGAGAGAGUUAUCAUUUGAGAUUCAAAGCAUUUCUAUGAUGAUAUGAAAAUAAAACUAUGCUACAAGUUCUUCAAGUAUUCCACAAGGGAGUUUUUUUAUAAUCUGCAAUUAUUUUUCAUACUGGUAGAAUAAACAUGGAAAGCUUCAGUAUGUAGAUCCUCCUGUAACUGGUCACUACUUUGCACUGAUACUCACAUGGCAAUCCUUGAAGAACUUGAUCCCUUUUUAUGCUGUAAAUAGAUAUUUUGUUUAGUUAACCUACUGAAAGAUCUGAAAGGGAAUCAAUAUGUUCUGUAAACUCAAGAGAAGGGAUUGUUUGAAUUUCUCGCUUCCUUCACAUUACAGAGCAAAAGUUUCAAUCUGUCACAUCUGCAUCAAGCCCAAAUCCUUUUAAGUUUCAUUGAAGUGUUACCUGCAAAUGUAAACUUGUAAGCACAAUCUCUUUUCCACUCUUUAUUUGGAAAACUGUGAUUCCCUGAGCUUGGAAUGAAUAAAGUCCCAUAUUGAAUAAGGUCUCAUUUCCUAUGAUAUUGGGCUGUCUACUUUUCUAACAAGGCUCAAGCUCCAAUUGGAGCUUUUCCAAUGGCUAGGAAAUUUCUAACUGUUCAGUACUGUGGAUUCCCUGAAAGCCUAGUAGCAUAUGUUUACACUGAAGCCUUUCCUUAUUAGAAGCAGUAUUAAGGUCAUUCUAUAUAUCAAUACAACUAUUUUCCUGCCUCCUGCUAGUAAUAUAAUUACGUUUGAGGUGUCUGCUUUUAUCAGAUAUGGUUGAAAUUUGUGAUUGUGUCAAAAGUUAUUGAAGAGGUAGUAGGCAUAUGAUGAGUCAUGCAGACAAAACUCAACUGUAAGAUUUGUUUCCCUGGGAUAUCUGGCACCUGUAUUGCCAGAGAUAUCUGAACCUUUGUGGAUUUUCAUUGUCCUAUUUCUACUGUUUCUUAGAGAAGGAGAGAUAGGAGAGUUUCACUGGAUGUAAAACAGCAUUCCCAUAGGAUAUCGGUUAUGACCAAUGGAAUAAAUUUCAUGCUGAUGUUCUGCCCAUUUCUGGGAUUGUUUUUCAUCGUGGUGGUCCUUGAAAAAUAUAUUUAUACAUACAACUGUCCUGCUGGACUGGAAAUAAGAGUAAAUUGUUUCAUUUUUGUCAUGUUUCCAAGGUCCUUUGUCAUGUCAACGGCCAAUAGGCAGGAUACAAGUGAGAUAUCAAGGCUCUUUUUACCUUCAUUUCUGUGUCUGUUUGCUGUAUUUAAAGAUGCUCCUUGAUUUUAUUACAAUAAUACUUUUCAUUUAUAAAUUUGGACCUCCUCUGAUGUGAGCCCCAAGCAUUUCCAUUUCUAAGUGCAAAAAAGUUAAUCCCUGUGUAAUUAAAAGUGGUGCCAGUUUCUAACCACACUGCCUUACCUACCCUAGUCCUUUGGAAAUGUUUUACGUGCAACAACUUUAUAUACUAAACAAGUUUGUUUAAUAAAAAUGUUGUUACGAUAACUAUAAACAACAUAUUUUUGACAUGACUAAUGUUUUCAUGAAGUUGCUUUCAUUUUCACAGGUCACUGCUUCCUUUUCCAGCCUCACAAACAGUUUUCUCAAUCAUCUGGGUGCCUCAGCGCUUGGAUCUGUGUCCUAUGAUUUGAUCUUCUUUUCAGAGUGUUCUCUCAUUUGUCUCUGUCCAUGUGUUGUUUUUCUGACACUUCUUUUUUUCUAGUGGCACUUUAUAACAAAUUUUCUCUAUGAUGAACUGUUAAAAGAAGUGAGAUAUCCAGAAAUAAAGUGGAAAAAAAAAAAAAAAAAAAAAAAGAAGCAACUGACCAAUAAUCUGCAUAGAAAGUGGAGAACUAAGGGGUGAAGAGGAUGAGUGGCCUUUAAAAUGUCGUCUUGUGGUCAUCAAAGUGGCAAAAGGCAAUCUCGUAAACCUUCUAAUGUUGGAGGCUGAUGGCCAGGUCAAUGACCAUACAGAACAAUGGUGGCAACCUCAAACGUGGUUAGGAGGGUUAUUACUGAAAACUGAAUCUCGACAUGAGCCUAAGAAAUAAGUGCUAACUGACUCUAAAAACUAGAGGACAACUCUGUGAAUACCACCGCAAAUACCACUGGCAAGAGACACGUCUCCAAGCUGUCUUCAGACUCCAGAGUAAAUAAAUAAAAUAUUUCAGAGAGAAGAGGCCUGUAUACGUUGGCAGCAUUGCUUGACUUUGUGUGUAAAACCAAGCACGAUUUGAACUUCCACUAGGUAGACACCAACACAAGAAACUCAUUUAAACUGGUCAAAUUCUAACAAACAUUUUCUGUGAAGUUUUGGUGAGCUGGAGUUUGCCAGAAGUUUUUCCAGGAAUUAACAACCUCCAAAGACUGCAAACACUUUUUCUUCUGAACAUCUCUGCCCAGAAUCUUUCUCCAAAACUCAUAAAGCAAGAACUUGAGAAAACCUGCUUGAAAAGCAGUCUGCUUUGUAAAAAUAUAGUAGGAUCUCACUAGACUUUGAAGCAAGGGAGAACCAAAAUAAAGGCAGUGAAGACAUUACCCUCACUGUGUUUCCAAAUACUAUUGGAGAAAAUGCAAAAGCUUUAAGCAUAAUACUAGGGGUUGGUCCUUUAUCUAUUCACCUUCUUCUACUUCAAACCUACUGAUUUCUCUGCAUGAAAGUCAUAAGCUGAUCUUAGCUCAUCUCUGAUUAAGGAUGGUCCUUUGGUCCUCUUGGAUAGUCCUCUUCAUAUUCCAUGUCCCCACAGUUAGUCCUUGGUAAUCAAGCCUUGGCUUAUACACAUGCCAAUCCACCCCCAAAAAGCAAACAAAUAUAACAACUACAUUGAGAAUGAGAUAAUGUUACUCUGUGAUCACAGUUAUUGUGUUACCUUACACUUUCAGUGGGUCAGUUAUCUCUCUGGAGUAGUUAAAAAUGUUCUGUUGGCCCAUUGACUCGGUGGUAUAUUUGCUCGCUUCUAGCAAGCCUAAUGGACUAAUAUCAGUGGACAUUUAUUCUUGGAAGAGAUACACUUGCCAAGAUUUUAGGUCUUUGGCGAAAAUCAGCUCUGUACAGGAGUUAGGGUUUGUUAGAGUUGUUGUUUGUUUGUUUGUUUAACAUGAGAAGAAAUAAACAUUAUUUUUAACUUUGAAGAGACUUUAACUUCAGACACUGCCUGUGCACAGCCCCAGAGAGGACAAGGGCCAUGAGAAAUGUGAUGACAUUUGGUUGCAUAAUUUUGAAUUGAAUGAGAUUUACAUAUGUUUUUAGUACAAACAAAGCAAGAAACAAGCAUUCUUGGAGGAUACUCUUUUAGCAAAUGUUCAAAAAUUUGGUGAGCACAGCUACAUUACAUCAAAAGUCAAAAAUCUUAAGAGGCAAGUAUGUAAGAUAAGAUGAUCAUUUCCAUCUAUACAGUUAUUCAUGUUCUCUUGUCUUUUAGGACCAUAUAGCUUAACUAUAAUCUCUCAACACUUGAACUUUGAGCUACUUUGAUCAUACUUACUUUCACAGGGCAUACUGAAGAGUGGUUAAUUCUGUGGUACGUGAAAUUUGCACAAUACUUCUUUUUUCUUAAUGGAACACAUUUUUAGUAUUUUGCAAGCAAUCCACAAGUUAUUACUUCACGUUUGGUUUUAAAAUACAGUUUGGAAAAUCAAAACAAGUUUUGACUACACAUUAAUCAUACAGAGAAAAAAAUUCAAUACAAAAUAAAUUAAAGUAGCUUCCCAGGGGAAAUGUUUAAUCAGUUUCAAGUGUUUUUAAGAAGAAUGAGAAAUGAUGAAAAGCCUUUUACAGAAAGUGUUAAAUCAGUUAAUAAAUUUUUUGACUGCAUCUGCAUAAAUAGUUAUAGAUAAUUUAAACCAGCUUUCAAAGUAGUACAGUAAGAUAGGCUUUGUCAUAGAGUAGAAUAUGGCAUGAACAGAAAGAAGGUUCUGUUUUUACUUCCUUUCUUUCCUUCUUUUCCUGUUGCACAUAAAUAUUUGUAUCUCACUUUGAUCUAUCAUCAAAUCAUGUAUGACAGAAGUCUUGACCUGUUGGUUACCAACAACUAUUUGAUAUUGGUUAUGGCCACAGGAAAAUCAAAAGUAAAAUCUAGUAAAUAAAUUAUAAUUGCCAAAAAAAGAAAGAGUGUGCCUUCAUUAUAUUUUUCUUGUUACUGUUAUCCCUGUUCUGCCUUCUAAUUGGAAUCACAGAGUCUCCUUGCUUAGAAGAGGUUCCCAAUUAUAACCAGCACACAGGCAUACUGGCCACUUCCGAAUGUGAUUUUUGUUGCAUUAACCUUAAGCUCAGGCCUAAACGCUGUCCUUCUUAGGAAAGAAUAAAAUUCCUGGAUCAGUUCUGUAUGUAGAAAUCUUCAUAUCUUCUGGACUCUAGAUCUUGCAGUUACAAUGCCUUCAGGCAUAACCUUGCCUUCAGCUAGAUGCCUGAGUUCAUUACAACUCAUAGGCUGUCCAUCAGUCCAUAUGUUACUGAAUACUAUGUCUCAGUUUAUAAAUUUCCUUGUACAGGGUCAGCCUUUGUUGUUACUGAAUUAUACUGUGUCAAGUACAGUGUGGCUUCAACCCCUUUGAGUUGUUUUAUUGGUCUAAGAACUUUAUCUCUGCUGUCAUGUAACAGUGGCUCCAAUCUAAUACUGUGGAUCAGACAAUCUAAAAGAGGAGAUGCAACACUCAUGGACAUUUCCGAAGCACAGAAUGCUAGAGUCACUUAAUGCUAGAGUUACUUCCUUGAGUUACUUCCUGUGUUCUGCACCAAAACUCACUUGAUAGAUGAUAAGGAAAAAAUACAAAUUCCAAAAUAAAUUAGUCCAAAUACCCAGGAAACUUGGUAUCCCUUUGUUCCUACAUCAUCUCUACCCACAAUUCUAUUCUGUUCUAUACCAGAUUACAAGUCAAAGCUCAUCAUUACCUUCUUUUUCUCAUGAACAGAGUAACAUAAUCUUCAGUCGAGACUUUUUUCCAUAUUCCUUCAUUUCCAUGACCUACUUAUGAAAGUAAUCCUCAAUUUCUUGGAGACUGCAAUUCUCACUAAAUUCUAAUUAAUGAAAGACUGCUGAAAGCCAGCCACAGAAAUCAUCUGUUAGAAGACUUUGUACAUGCUAGAUUUGUAAGGGUCCAUGUAUGCAUCUACAGCACCUUGUCUGUGACAGUGGUAGUGAAAAUGUCUUUCAUUUCUCUUCAUCAGUGCAUUUUAUUUAAAUGCUUAGUUUCUAUCAUUUAGUCCCAAUGUUGAAGUUUCUAAAUAAUUAUCAGAAAAAAAUAACUGUCAAAAACAAAACAUUGAAAUUAUAUCUAAAGGUUGGUACAGAUGCCAGCAAAUAUCUUCUAAAUGGAAUUUAGGAUAUGGUAUGCCCUCAGAUGUAAGAAAUUACAAGACCAACUUGACUAAUUGAACCAAAAAAAUUUCCAUCAAACAACUUUGUACCAGGUAUCUAAGCUAUCUCAGGGAGUCAUGAAAGUGAUGGGCAAGGCUUGAUCAGCAUCUGUUCUGGGGAACUUAGCCUCAGAACACAUCACCUUGGCCAUAUAUUUCAUCACCUUGUUGAUCAAAGAAAAGCAUUCACUUAUUUGACAUAUCUUUCCCACAAGAAGUGCAAUCUACAGAAAAGCAACACAAAUCCUUAACUAAAUAGCCACAAGCAAAAGAUAAAACAAAACCCUCAACAUUUUGUUUCACCUGAAAUCUCUUUUCUUUACUUCUUUAUUGUCUAUGUCUCCCUUUGACAAUAUACCCUUUUUGUCUCUUUGUCUCUCUCUCCUAUAUUAUGUUUAGGUUGAUUUUAUUCCAUCCAUUGGUCUCACCUGGAAUUUUUGUAGAGAUUUACAUGGGAUUUUCAUAGUCAAUUGCAUAGUAUGAUAGGGUUUAAUGGCCAGUGAACCAUUGUGCUGUAUCUCCCAAGUCUCUGAAGAGUUAAAAGCUCUGGCAUUGACUGUAGCACAAAGGGAAGGCUAGCCACAGAUUCCAGCAUUGCUUUUUAUUAUGUUGCAGCUGUACUGCACUCAAUUCUACUUGGAAAACUUCCUGAACGAGAAUCUAUUUCCCUCACUUCACUUUUGGAAUAUGUACUGUUUUGGUUUUUGGCUCAUCUUUGAAGCAAUGUUCUUUUUGUCAGUAUUGAAGGAAUGAAGGGUAUAUUUAAAGAAUAAACUGUUGGGAUGUGUUUGGUGAUUUUGAUUUAGGAUGUAGGAAUAAGGUUCUCAAGGGAUGGAAAACUUGAACUCUAAAAAUAAUGACCAUCUAAAUUUUGGUGGAGGUAUUAUUAUUGCAUUGACUCAUAUGGUCUCUACUUGGUUACAUUUCUACUUAGGAAUGGGGCAUUCAUUUACAAUGCAACAAUAUUUAUAGUAGUUACAAGCCAUAAGCACUUUCUUCCAGUGGUUAUUUAAAUAAUGUUAAUAAAAUUCAUAUAUAGCACAAUGUAUUAACUCUCAUGCCUAGAAAACACAUUAGCCAGAAUUUAACUUAAUACAGUUCUUAAAGAUAGAUACGAAGUCACUUGUGCAAUUUUUAGGUGGGUGUAAAUUCUGAAUAAAUUUUGUGUAUGUGUAGGUCACCUUUCUCUACAUUGAAGGUUUUCCAAAAGACAACUCUUGAUUGCUGUCUCCUCUGUGGAACCUUAACAGAGCUAAACCUGAAGAAAUACAAUGCAGUUUCUCCAUAGAAAAACUAUAGUGUACUUGUCCCACUGAAUCCCAACUGUAUUAGCUCCUCAGACUCAGGAAUUGCACUACAGUGGGGUUGGGAUUUGAAUGUAAAUAUUUUCUUUGUAAAAAUAGCAACCUGGAGAGAAAUCAGCAACCCAACUCAGUUAUAGGCUAACAUUACCAAUUUAUUCACUGCCUACAGGCAUUUAUACAUAUGUAAUGGUUUGCUUCACUGCAGUGUAAAGGUAAUCCAUAAAGCAGAACAGAAUUUUUCAAAGAAGUUGGCCAAGUUCUGCCAUUUAUUUGUAUUGUGGGCUACAAUUAUGAAGUUGGAAAGUAAAUUUUUCAACAUAAUCUGAAAAGAAAGUUGUCCCUAACGUAGGAAAAUCCAAGAAAACAAAGCUCAUUCUUCAUCAGGAUAAAGUAAGGAUCAAUCUUGACCAUAAGGGGGAAAGAUGUUCCAGAUUUCAUUAGAAAGUGUCAGCUUUCACAAUUAGGGAAUUUUUUUUGACUGAUACCAGCUGAGUUCUGUAGCAGACAGUGAGAAUCUCUGUGGUUGGAGAAAAGGAAUCAGACUUUUCAUGAUAUGUUAUAGGAUUUUCAUGUCUGUGCCUUAGAACUAGGAGUAGAUAUUGACCAGUGACAUUCACUCGUAUGUGUUUUAAAAGUAAACUUUCAGCUUUCACCUUGUACUGAGUCAAAUGACAACUCACAGCCAUUGUAACACCUGGACAAAUUAUGAUAAGCUCUCUACAGUGAGCUACACAAUGUCAAUCUCUUAACCGCAUGUAUUUAAAAUGAGGUAUUUUGGUUUGCAAGCACAGUUGCAAAGUUUCCAAAAUAAAUCCAUUUUCUUCCCUUUCUCUACUUAAGCCAUUAAUUUGUAUUCUCUUCACUUAAUUAUGUUGUUGCUUUUCCAGGAAAACAGAACAUUUAAU